rnacentral:rRNA from 1 species
CACGUAGGGGGCGAGCGUUGUCCGGAUUUAUUGGGCGUAAAGAGCUCGUAGGCGGCUCGGUAAGUCGGGUGUGAAACCUCCAGGCUCAACCUGGAGACGCCACCUGAUACUGCUGGGGCUAGAGUCCGGUAGGGGAGUGUGGAACUCCUGGUGUAGCGGUGAAAUGCGCAGAUAUCAGGAAGAACACCAGCGGCGAAGGCGGCACUCUGGGCCGGAACUGACGCUGAGGAGCGAAAGCGUGGGUAGCAAACAGG